rnacentral:tRNA from 1 species
GCUUUCAUGUGGCUAAGUUGGUAGAGCAUUGCUCUAACAACGCAAAGGUCGUGGGUUCAUAACCCAGGGAAAGCA